rnacentral:rRNA from 1 species
GACGAACGCUGGCGGCGUGCUUAACACAUGCAAGUCGAACGGUGAAGCUCCAGCUUGCUGGAGUGGAUCAGUGGCGAACGGGUGAGUAACACGUGAGCAACCUGCCCCUGACUCUGGAAUAAGCGCUGGAAACGGCGUCUAAUACUGGAUACGAGAAGGGCCCGCAUGGGCACUUUCUGGAAAGUUUCUCGGUUGGGGAUGGGCUCGCGGCCUAUCAGCUUGUUGGUGAGGUAAUGGCUCACCAAGGCGACGACGGGUAGCCGGCCUGAGAGGGCGACCGGCCACACUGGGACUGAGACACGGCCCAGACUCCUACGGGAGGCAGCAGUGGGGAAUAUUGCACAAUGGGCGAAAGCCUGAUGCAGCGACGCCGCGUGAGGGAUGACGGCCUUCGGGUUGUAAACCUCUUUCAGCAGGGAAGAAGCGAAAGUGACGGUACCUGCAGAAGAAGCACCGGCUAACUACGUG